GAUGAACGCUAGCUACAGGCUUAACACAUGCAAGUCGCGGGGCAGCAUGGGGGUUGCUUGCAAUCCCCGAUGGCGACCGGCGCACGGGUGAGUAACGCGUAUCCAACCUGCCCUUCACCACGGGAUAACCCGGCGAAAGUCGGACUAAUACCGUAUGUUGUCCAUUGACGGCAUCCGAUUUGGACGAAAGGUUUGGCGGUGAAGGAUGGGGAUGCGUCCGAUUAGCUGGACGGCGGGGUGACGGCCCACCGUGGCGACGAUCGGUAGGGGUUCUGAGAGGAAGGUCCCCCACACUGGAACUGAGACACGGUCCAGACUCCUACGGGAGGCAGCAGUGAGGAAUAUUGGUCAAUGGGCGUAAGCCUGAACCAGCCAAGUAGCGUGCAGGAUGACGGCCCUAUGGGUUGUAAACUGCUUUUAUGCGGGGAUAAAGUGGCCCACGUGUGGGUUUUUGCAGGUACCGCAUGAAUAAGGACCGGCUAAUUGCGUG
rnacentral:rRNA from 1 species